UCUUCCAACAGCUUAUGUAACUUUAUAUUCAAUCAUGGAAUAGCUUUCGAGUCAAAAACUAUCUUGAUUUUGAGCUAAUACGCGUUUAUGAAAAUUACUUAUGACACUAUAGGUAACAAAGUGGAUGCUAAGCAAGGGUCAAGGAAAGACAAUGGGAAGCUAUUUCACAUUACUUAAUGCUUUAGCAGAAGAAGAUCGACUGGCUGAGGCAGAAGAGCUUUGUACGAAGUUAUUAAUGCAGUACACGUAAAGCUUGCCUCGUAGAUUCUUCAAUAAAAUGAUAUCUAUCUACUCUAAAAGGGGCAUACAUGACAAGAUGUUUGAGGUUUUUGCAGACAUGGAGGAGCUUGCUGUUCGACCUAGUAUUUUUGUUGUCUCAAUGGUUGGAGAUGUCUUCAAGGAGCUUGGAAUGAUGGACAAAUACGAGAAGUUACAUAAAAAAUAUCCACCACCCCAAUGGGAAUGUCGAAGUCCAAGAUCAUAAGUUGUUGUGUUCUUCUCUUGAGCCAGAAUAAAUGGUGAAUUGAAAGUGGGUUCUUUGGCUUGUAAAUUUCCUAAAUGCAUAGUAUAUGGAAAUUGAGGUGUAAUUUUCAAUGCAUAUAGGCUUUGAUUAGUAUUAAUGGUGAAGGUUUGUGUUAUAUUGUUGAUCAUAUAUUUGCAUCCUA